UUUUUCAGCCAAGAAUGCAGCUGCCUGUGGACCUCCAGCUCCAUUUCAAAUCCUGGUUGCUGUUUCUGUUCCCCUGACUCUAAAUGAUUUAUCCCUGUUGCAAUCUAGGGCACCUGAGAAGGAACAACACAAUUGGUACAAAGCUGGGUUUCGUAUUCAAGAUAAUAACAUUUGGCUUUCACCAGAUGGACGACCUGUGGCUCCUUCUACGUUGGUGUCCCAAUUGGCUACCAUUACCCAUGGAUUAGGACAUAUGAACAAAAGGGGGGUAGCGGACCAGAUUCUGAAGCAUUGUCUCUCCUCUCAGGUUGCAGAAGCCUUACCUGUCCCAACUGAUGUGCCUUGCCAUGAUGUGCAACCAGGAAAUUGGGUCCUGAUA